AAACGGUGCUAAUACCGCAUAGGAAGUUUGUUCGCAUGAACAAACUUAGAAAAGAUGGCUCUGCUAUCGCUUAUCGAUGGCCUUGCGGUGCAUUAACUAGUCGGCGAGGGUAACGGGCUCACCAAGGUGAUGAUGCAUAGCCGACCUGAGAGGGUAAUCGGCCACAUUGGGACUGAGACACGGCCCAAACUCCUACGGGAGGCAGCAGUAGGGAAUCUUCCGCAAUGGACGCAAGUCUGACGGAGCAACGCCGCGUGAGUGAAGAAGGUUUUCGGAUCGUAAAACUCUGUUGUAAGAGAAGAACAAAUUGUAGAGUAACUGCUACAGUCUUGACGGUAUCUUACCAGAAAAGCCACGGGCUAACUACGUGCCAGCAGCCGCGGGUAAAUA
rnacentral:rRNA from 1 species